UUCCGGUUGAUCCUGCCAGAGGUCACUGCUAUCGGGGUUCGAUUAAGCCAUGCGAGUCGAGAGGGUUCGGCCCUCGGCGUACUGCUCAGUAACACGUGGAUAACCUGCCCUAGGGGAGGGGAUAACCCCGGGAAACUGGGGAUAAUACCCUAUAGGUUACAGAUGCUGGAAUGCCCUGUAACCAAAAGCUCCGGCGCCCUAGGAUGGAUCUGCGGCCGAUUAGGUUGUUGUUGGGGUAACGGCCCAACAAGCCCGUAAUCGGUACGGGUUGUGGGAGCAAGAGCCCGGAGUUGGAUUCUGAGACACGAAUCCGGGCCCUACGGGGCGCAGCAGGCGCGAAACCUUUACAAUGCGGGCAACCGUGAUAAGAGAACCUCGAGUGCCUGUAAACGCAGGCUGUUCAGGUGUUUAAAACGCACCUGGAGAAAGGGCCGGGCAAGACCGGUGCCAGCCGCCGCGGUAAUACCGGCGGCUCGAGUGGUGGCCGCUUUUAUUGGGCUUAAAGAGUUCGUAGCUGGGCUGUUAAGUCUCUUGGGAAAUCUGGCGGCUUAACCGUCAGGCGUCUAAGGGAUACUGGCAAUCUUGGAACCGGGAGAGGUGAGGGGUACUUCGGGGGUAGGGCUGAAAAAUCUGCUUC
rnacentral:rRNA from 1 species